rnacentral:sRNA from 2 species
ACCUACCACUGCCAAUCUAUCUAUUGCUGCCAAUCUAUCUACCACUGCUAAUCUAUCACUGCUAAUCUAUUGCUGCCAAUCUAUCUACCACUGCCAAUCUAUCUAUCACUGCCAAUCUACCUACCGCUGCCAACCUAUCUACCACUGCUAAUCUAUCACUGCUAAUCUAUUGCUGCUAAUCUAUUGCUGCUAAUCUAUUGCUGCUAAUCUAUUGCUGCUAAUCUAUCUAUCACUGCUAAUCUAUUGCUGCCAAUCUAUCUACUGCUGCCAAUCUAUCUAUCACUGCCAACCUACCUACCACUGCUAAUCUAUCACUGCUAAUCUAUCACUGCCAAUCUAUAUAGAGUAAAUCAUGGUCCCAUUUGGUCCCAUUUUGUAAAAUGGAAUCAAAUGGAACUGGAACCACUAAUUUAUUAGUAAAACAUGAUCUGGGACUAGAUUUAUAAUAUAAACAGUGUAAAGUGACUAAUUUACUAAACACUAUAUGGGACCAGAACUAAGAUAUCUAAUAAUGGAACUGAGGAAAAAUUUGGUCCCAGUCCCAUGCAUGGUCACACAGUCAGUCUAAGAAUACUUAAAGAAUGCACU